AAUGUACUCCCUCCGUCUUAAAAUUCUUGUCUUAAAUUUAUAUAAAAAUGAAUAUAUCAAAAUACUAAAACGUGACUAAAUACAUUAAUAUAUCUAAACAAAUUUAAGAAAAGAAUUUUAGGACGGAGGAAGUAUACG
rfam:Hordeum vulgare subsp. vulgare, WGS project CAJW01000000 data, contig: morex_contig_134704